UAGGGAAUCUUCCACAAUGGACGCAAGACUGAUGGAGCAACGCCGCGUGAGUGAAGAAGGUUUUCGGAUCGUAAAGCUCUGUUGUUGGUGAAGAAGGAUAGAGGCAGUAACUGGUCUUUAUUUGACGGUAAUCAACCAGAAAGUCACGGCUAACUACGUGCCAGCAGCCGCGGUAAUACGUAGGUGGCAAGCUUUGUCCGGAUUUAUUGGGCGUAAAGCGAGCGCAGGCGGAAUGAUAAGUCUGAUGUGAAAGCCCACGGCUCAACCGUGGAACUGCAUCGGAAACUGUCAUUCUUUAGUGCAGAAGAGGAGAGUGGAAUUCCAUGUGUAGCGGUGGAAUGCGUAGAUAUAUGGAAGAACACCAGUGGCGAAGGCGGCUCUCUGGUCUGCAACUGACGCUGAGGCUCGAAAGCAUGGGUAGCGAACAGG
rnacentral:rRNA from 1 species